rnacentral:rRNA from 1 species
UCCAGACUCCUACGGGAGGCAGCAGUGGGGGAUAUUGCACAAUGGGGGGAACCCUGAUGCAGCGACGCCGCGUGGGUGAAGGAGCGUUUCGGCGCGUAAAGCCCUCUCGGCAGGGAAGAAGGAGGACGGUACCUGACUAAGAAGCCCCGGCUAACUACGUGCCAGCAGCCGCGGUAAUACGUAGGGGGCAAGCGUUAUCCGGAUUUACUGGGUGUAAAGGGGGCGCAGACGGCAGCGCAAGCCAGGAGUGAAAGCCCGGGGCCCAACCCCGGGACUGCUCUUGGAACUGCGCGGCUGGAGUGCAGGAGGGGCAGGCGGAAUUCCUGGUGUAGCGGUGAAAUGCGUAGAUAUCAGGAGGAACACCGGUGGCGAAGGCGGCCUGCUGGACUGCGACUGACGUUGAGGCCCGAAAGCGUGGGGAGCAAACAGGAUUAGAUACCCUAGUAAC